UACGGAGGGGGUUAGCGUUGUUCGGAAUGACUGGGCGUAAAGCGCGCGUAGGCGGGCUGGAAAGUUGGGGGUGAAAUCCCGGGGCUCAACCCCGGAAUGGCCUUCAAAACUCCCAGCCUAGAGUUCGAGAGAGGUGAGUGGAAUUCCGAGUGUAGAGGUGAAAUUCGUAGAUAUUCGCAAGAACACCAGUGGCGAAGGCGGCUCACUGGCCCGGUACUGACGCUGAGGUGCGAAAGCGUGGGGAGCAAACAGG
rnacentral:rRNA from 1 species